rnacentral:piRNA from 1 species
CAUCUAGGACAACGGAAGCCA